rnacentral:rRNA from 1 species
CGAAAGCCUGACGGAGCAACGCCGCGUGGGGGAAGAAGGCUCUUGGGUUGUAAACCCCUUUUCUCUGGGAAGAAAGUUGUGAAAGCAACCUGACGGUACCAGAGGAAUCAGCAUCGGCUAACUCCGUGCCAGCAGCCGCGGUAAGACGGAGGAUGCAAGCGUUAUCCGGAAUGAUUGGGCGUAAAGCGUCCGCAGGUGGCAGUCCAAGUCUGCUGUCAAAGACCGGGGCUUAACUUCGGAAAGGCAGUGGAAACUGAACAGCUAGAGUAUGGUAGGGGCAGAGGGAAUUCCUGGUGUAGCGGUGAAAUGCGUAGAGAUCAGGAAGAACAUCGGUGGCGAAGGCGCUCUGCUGGACCAUAACUGACACUCAGGGACGAAAGCUAGGGGAGCG